rnacentral:rRNA from 1 species
UACGGAGAGUGCAAGCAUUAAUCGGAAUUAUUGGGCGUAAAGGGCGCGUAGGCGGGAUGAUAAGUCAGAUGUGAAAUUCCGAAGCUCAACUUCGGAGCGGCAUAUGAAACUGUCAACCUAGAGGGUUAACGGAGAAAAUGGAAUUCCACGUGUAGCGGUGAAAUGCGUAGAUAUGUGGAAGAACACCAGUGGCGAAAGCGGUUUUCUAUCUUAUUCCUGACGCUGAGGCGCGAAAGCAAGGGGAUCAAACAGG